UUUGAGGCCUCGGCCGAGAUGGCCGGCGAGUCCCGGUGGUGAAGCCGUCAGCCCCCAGGCCGCGGACACGUGGAGCGUCUCCAGCACCGCAGCCUUCUGACCCCACAUCCCGCUGCGGGCGGCUCCCGCAUCCGCAACAACUGACUCACCCUGGUGGGGCCUCCAAGUGUGGGAUCCUGCUGGUCUGGCCCUGGUUCUUGAGACAGUCGUCCUGGGACAGCCACUACUGCAUCGGUACAAGUGUGCAGCCAGCGAGAUGAGAAGCAGCAGCGUCACAGCCCCUAAGAGGGCCCACAAUCCCCAGGCCUGGGGGAAGGAGGGAAUUCCUGUGGAUGUAGAGGGGUGGGUAUUACUGCCCAGCCCAACCCUCCAGAUCCCAGCAGAUGGGACAUGGGGCCCCGUGACCCCUCCCCCUGUCCCCGCCCCGCCCCGCUUACCGGGCCCUAGCUGAUCCGUGCAGUUGGCACCGCUGCUCAUGACUAUUGAUGUGGGAGCCAAGUCUGCAGGCCUGAGCCUGGGCGUGAGCCUGGCUUAUGGUCUGACAGCUGCAGCAGCCCCCUUACUCCCACCCCUCCCGGCCUGGCCCCCACAGCUCAUCAUCCCCAAUACUGGUGGUGGCAAAGUCACUGGUUUCCGGGGAGGAAGGGGGAGGGGAGGGAUGAGUGAAAGAACUGACACCGCCCAGUGCCUGCACCUGCGCCACCCAGCAACUCCUGAACUUCCGCAACUCCUCACCUCACACCCCCCUCGCCCUUGGCCCUCUACCCCCUUUGGCCAGAGAAGAGAGAAGAAGGCCUGUGCUACUGUGUAGCUGAGCCCAUGAAGACUCCAGGGGGGGCAGAAGUGGCAUGAGGUAGGACCCACAAGACAAGGAAGCCAGGCUUUAUGACAGAGAUUCCCUUAUGCCACAGGGUACCUGACUUUUCUCUCCAGUUCUGAGUCUCGUGAGGAGAAUGUGCUUCUGGAUGAACAUGUUAUAACAUGGAAUGGGAUUGGGAGGUCUCCUGCCGCGCUGAGAAUGAGCCCCGUGUGGUUAGUGCGCCCAGACGCACCGCCUGCGUAACUAGAGGAGAUGACGGAUGACGACCCCAGCCGCACACCGCUCAGCUCCCCCGCCUAACGGGUUCGCUUCUUGGCGGAUUGACAGAGAAGCGGGGGAGGUCUACGUGCAUGCGCACGCGGCACUCUCUGCCGGAGAUCCGGGGACUUUCCCCUAGGCGCAAAUGAGGAACCGAGUCCUCCGUCUGUAGCCUAGGCAACAGGCCUUCAGCGCGAACUACAACUAAAACUUGGGCUUCGCGGCCUAUUUAUAGGUCCAGCAGAAAUUCUACCUUUCGGUUAGGGCGAGAAAAUUGAUG